rnacentral:rRNA from 1 species
GCUACAUGCAAGUCGCGCGUGAAAGGACUUCGGUCCGAGUAAAGCGGCGCACGGGUGAGUAACGCGUGGAUGAUCUACCCAUGAGUUGGGAAUAACGGCUGGAAACGGUCGCUAAUACCGAAUACGCUCCGAUUUCAACUUCGGGGGAAAGGUGGCCUCUGCUUGCAAGCUACUGCUCAUGGAUGAGUCCGCGUCCCAUUAGCUAGUUGGUGGGGUAACGGCCCACCAAGGCGACGAUGGGUAGCCGGUCUGAGAGGAUGACCGGCCACACUGGGACUGGAACACGGCCCAGACUCCUACGGGAGGCAGCAGUGGGGAAUAUUGCGCAAUGGGCGAAAGCCUGACGCAGCGACGCCGCGUGAGGGAUGAAGGUCCUCGGAUCGUAAACCUCUGUCAGGAGGGAAGAACCGCCACGGUGCUAAUCAGCCGUGGUCUGACGGUACCUCCAAAGGAAGCACCGGCUAACUCCGUGCCAGCAGCCGCGGUAAUACGGAGGGUGCGAGCGUUAAUCGGAAUCACUGGGCGUAAAGCGCACGUAGGCUGCUUGGUAAGUCAGGGGUGAAAGCCCGCGGCUCAACCGCGGAAUUGCCUUUGAUACUGCCGAGCUAGAGUCCGGGAGAGGGUAGUGGAAUUCCAGGUGUAGGAGUGAAAUCCGUAGAGAUCUGGAGGAACAUCAGUGGCGAAGGCGACUACCUGGACCGGUACUGACGCUGAGGUGCGAAAGCGUGGGGAGCAAACAGGAUUAAUA